rnacentral:rRNA from 1 species
GACGAACGCUGGCGGCGUGCUUAACACAUGCAAGUCGAACGCUGAACCCGCUUCGGUGGGGGAUGAGUGGCGAACGGGUGAGUAACACGUGGGCAACCUGCCCCCGGCUCUGGGAUAACUCCAAGAAAUUGGGGCUAAUACCGGAUGUGACCGCUGGCCGCAUGGUCUGGGGGUGGAAAGGGUUUCCGGCUGGGGAUGGGCCCGCGGCCUAUCAGCUUGUUGGUGGGGUAGUGGCCUACCAAGGCGACGACGGGUAGCCGGCCUGAGAGGGUGACCGGCCACACUGGGACUGAGACACGGCCCAGACUCCUACGGGAGGCAGCAGUGGGGAAUAUUGCGCAAUGGGCGGAAGCCUGACGCAGCGACGCCGCGUGGGGGAUGACGGCCUUCGGGUUGUAAACCUCUUUCAGCAGGGACGAAGCGCAAGUGACGGUACCUGCAGAAGAAGCACCGGCCAACUACGUG